ACAGCGCCUAGGCUGAUCACUGAACAGCGGGAAACCUUCAACCCGCUUGGCGCUGAUUUUCUUUGGAGGGU
rnacentral:ncRNA from 1 species